rnacentral:rRNA from 1 species
UACGUAGGGUGCGAGCGUUGCCCGGAUUUAUUGGGCGUAAAGGGCGCGUAGGCGGCCACGCACGUCCGUUGUGAAAUCGCCCGGCUCAACUGGGCGGGGUCAGCGGAUACGGUGUGGCUCGAGCAAGCUAGGGGGCAAUGGAAUUCCCGGUGUAGUGGUGGAAUGCGUAGAUAUCGGGAGGAACACCAGUGGCGAAGGCGGUUGCCUGGAGCUUUGCUGACGCUGAUGCGCGAAAGCGUGAGGAGCGAUCCGG